ACAGUCAUUGCACUUGAUGAAUGGCCUACCGGAAUCUGAUCGCCGGAACCUUCCACAGGUGAUGAAGUAAUGGUUAAACCAAGUGAACAUGGCAUCCUUUAUUUUCAUUAUGGUUAGGUCUCCGGUAGCCUCACUAUCAAAAAAGUAGACAACUCUCAGGUAGUGCAGUUUCAUGGCCAAGUCCAAGCCACCCGGGUUGUGGAACACAUCCGACCCGGUCGCUCGACCCGGCCCAACUGACGACAGCCUCACAUCAUGCACUAAGCUCUCCUCUAACACCAUUGCG
rnacentral:lncRNA from 1 species